AUAGAUAGAGAUAGAUAGAUGAUAGAGGUAGGUAGAUGAUAGGCAUAGGUUUAUAGAUGAUAUAGCUAUAGAACUUCCUGUGAAGUUCCUAGGUCCACCCAUCAAAGCAUCUGCUUUUCCCCAUCCUGUCCUCAGCUGAGCUUCCUCCCGAAUGGCUGAGUUAAUAGUGACUGUGGUGUUGCCCCCUGUGCCACACUCACCGCCCCUGUGCAGAGAGCGGCUGCGCAGUGGUGGGAUGGUUUCAUUAGCUCCGACCUGAGUUGGCACUCUUUGGCAAGCACAUGCUGCCUCAUGGCUGGGACUAUGGCUUCUUACCCACCAGUUUUCAUUUCUCAUGGAAGGACAAUUGAUAGAAAAUCACAGCUGCCACUUCAGUAUCGAGGAACCAGACAGCACUGGCCAUGGGAUAGCGCUUUUCCUCUGUGGUGACUCGGUUUGUAGCCAGUGGCUAAAUUACUCAGGCUCUGUCCUUGCAGACAUGUCUGACUUAUGGCCUGAGGGAGGUUUGGGGGAGUCAACGUCUGUGUUUGUAUUGUGGUGACCUCAUACAUGACAAGAUCACUGGUUGCUGAGGGCAUCAUCUCAGCAUAUGGUCAUGAAUCGCCACAUCAGCAUUCUGAAAGGCCAUGGCCAAUACUUUCCAACAUGCUGCAUGUGAAUACACGCUCCUACAGAUCUUAUUGCAGAAGUACAUCCAGCCUUCCAUAUCUUUCAAAUUUGUGUAGGGAUGGGAGAUUUUAGGGAACAAAAUCACCCCUGCAGGGAACAUGAAUAACUGUUUCUUCUCUUCGCACUUCCUAAACCCCAUGGUGUGGCAGCUGCUGGCCUUGUGUUCUCUAUCAGGUAGAGGAUUGAUCCAGAGGGCUUGAAAGCACUUGUAUUGGAUUAUACACAAGCACUGCAUCUCUUUGUGAAAUGGAUUUGUGCAUCCUAGGAGUUCAGUAUCCUGGGGAUCCUGGAACUACCUCCUGUGGCUACUGAGGGAUGAGUGUGGUUAUAGUUUCAGUACUGUUUAAGAAACUGAGGUAGAAGCAGCAAAUUCAAGAUCAUCAGUACUCCCAGACAGAACAUUCCUACAUCUCCCGGGAGAGCAAACACCUGCAUUGUGAAACAUGCCUUCAUCCUGUUCUUGCCUCUGAGCCUGCAGGGGUCUCCAUGGACUCCGGGAGCCUUGUGAUGCUCACACGACUCCUUUGAAAGAAGCUUCCAGUCAUUUGCCUUUACUACUCUGGUUCUGGCUCUGGGUUUUGUGGCUAUGUGAGGUUCUACAACUUGGUGAAAUUUCUGGGAUUCAGACUUUUCAUACACAGACAGGUACCCUAAAAGUCAUUUCUCAGGGUUGCUGUGAACAAGCCUGAAGUAUGAUUCCCACUGUACUAUAAAGUACAUGGUUAUGCCAACUCAUUAUGGGAAGGGUCACAAUAGAAAGGCACCAGUGUUCACAUGGCAUGUGUCUCGGGGUCCGGCAGAUGCUAAGUCAGCUCCUGAGAUGUGCUUUGAGACCCUCCUUUCUAUGAGGAAUGGGUGAAGCUGCCUUGGAACCCAAUCUCCCUCCACCUUUGUUAUUAUUUUUGAAGUAAUAAUGUUAACCUUUUGUUUUAAUUCCCUGGUUAUUCCCCUGGCUGCAGCUAGAGAUUUUAUCCUUUGGCAAAAGAAAGCAGUUUUAUUAGUGAAGCAAGCAGUUAAUUAAAAAGAAAAAUCAAAGGCUGGAGUUUGUUGGGGAAAACAACUGAAAUCAAACACAGCAUGUCAAUCUUCAACUCCUCCCAGUCCUGGCUCGGGCAGAUGGCGUGAACGCAGUGGGGACUCAGGGACACGUGGUCACAUGGUGCUCAUAAUGGCUGCAGCUCACUGUCUUCCACGGAACCCAGGUCAUCUGUGACCCAAGUCAGACCUGACCUUGGCCUGAAUACUCCAUCACCAUGAGAAGCUGGAUUGUCUACCUUGAGCACAACCCUCUCUAGAGGGAGGAAGGACAUAGUCUUGCUAAAACUGCCUAAAGUCUCAGAAUUCAAUUAAAGUGGACUUAAUUUUAUAAUCAUCUGCA